rnacentral:rRNA from 1 species
UACGAAGGGGGCUAGCGUUGCUCGGAAUCACUGGGCGUAAAGGGUGCGUAGGCGGGUCUUUAAGUCAGGGGUGAAAUCCUGGAGCUCAACUCCAGAACUGCCUUUGAUACUGAAGAUCUUGAGUUCGGGAGAGGUGAGUGGAACUGCGAGUGUAGAGGUGAAAUUCGUAGAUAUUCGCAAGAACACCAGUGGCGAAGGCGGCUCACUGGCCCGAUACUGACGCUGAGAUACGAAAGCGUGGGGAGCAAACAGG